CAACAAUCUUUUAGUUUAAUCUGUUCUCAUGAGAGCUAUUGUAGAUAGAGAAAAACUUUAUAUAACUUAAAUAACCAGAACUCAACACAUACCCUUUAUCACCAGGUGACUCCCCAUACAUCAAAAACUGGAAAUAUAAAGGAUAUGCAUAGGGAACAAAGGUUAACAUAAUUUGAUCUAUAACCGUCAAAGUGAUAUGCACAGGCUCUCAUAAAACUAAACAAAAAACAUUUUGUCAUUUCUAGUCUUUCAGUCAAUUUACAGACCAUAUUGCAUAAAUCAAAAGAGCACGACUAAACAAUUUACAGGUCAAACAUAGUUGAUGAUGUCAAGAUCACACUGACCGUAUACAAAAGAGAGACAAAUGAUACGAAAGGGAUACUCAAUCUUUUAAGUCAAAAUCAAACCUUGAAUGCCAAUGCAAAAAAAAAAACAAAAAACAAAAAACAAUUGAAAGACAUACAGUUUAAAUAUCGAAAAUCAAAGAGUUAUUAACACAAAUAGGACCAAAAAGAGAGAUGAUAUCAGGAGCUCUGGAAGAGUUAGAAUAUCUUACUCUUCAAGUGGCUCCUGUCUUAAUAGUCAUUUCAGUACAAAACCAGUAAUUAAGUCUAAUUCGGUUAGUCACAUUCGGAGAAAAGAGGACAAUAUAAUUGUUACGACAAUUGGAACAAAUCCGUCGUCAUCUGCGAUAUAGAAAUUCCAUAACGGUCAGUCGACUCGUGAAAGCGUCCGAUAAUGGUUGUUUAACAGAUUUAAAUUCAAUAACUAGUGAUAUGAUAUAUUUUUUGACAAUUGUUGUAAUGAUUAAGCUGUAUUUUACCAUUUAUAUUGCUGCAAUUUAUGGUAUAUCAGUGUUUAAUUUAGGUACAAGUACAUACUUCAAUCGAAAAUGUCUCCCUUUUUUUCCUUGGGCGUACAAUAAAUCUUAUUUACGAUCUAAUAUUUAGUUUAAACAAAGCUGCAUUAUUAUAGUGAACUAAGUGCAAUUUUGAGAUGUUAUAUGUGUGUUUUUUGUAGUAGUUUAGGAUGAAAAGAUAAUUAUGUAUUUUCCGACAAAGUGUGUUUGGCAGAUCGAAAUUUUUUAUUGAAUCCUGUGUAUAGUUCUAUUGAGGAAUUUUAAAAACACUUUACCUGAGAACAAUGCUUCGAUCGAAUUAUUGAUAUAAAUAAAUCUUAUAAUAUGCGUGGUAUUAUUUGACAUGUUUACCAGACCAAACAAUGUAAACAACAAAAAUAAGAUGUAGCAAAUUUUUGUCACUGUGCCAUAACGAAGAUGUAAAGAAAAUAUAGUAGCUGUGACGUAGCAACCAUAGACAGAAAUAUGUGAAUUUUAAUACAUUUUCUCCGGCAUAGAUAGUUAGGUAGAAGUCCGUGUCCGUUACAUGCUUUUAACAUUACUUAGAGAGAGCCAGUCACAAUAGAGGUUGCUAAAAGACCAACAAGUUUAAGGUGAUGAUGUUGAAAAGCAAGAUAUGGUAUUGCACUUCAGUGUUAGCAUG